GAUAACUGGCUUGUGGCCACCAAGCGUUCAUAGCGAAGAGGCUUUUUGGUCUUCGUUGUCAGCUCUCCCUAUCAUUGCGAAGCUAAAUUGUCAAACCGAAGGAUUUUUACCCUUUGAAGGGAACGUGAGAAUAAUUGCAAUGUUCGUAAAAACACC
rnacentral:ncRNA from 1 species